rnacentral:lncRNA from 10 species
UUUGUAUUUUUAGUAGAGAUGGGGUUUCACUCUAUUGGCCAGGCUGGUCUUGAACUCCUGACCUCAGGUGUAGCGGCCCACACCUGUAAUCCCAGCACUUUGGGAGGCGGAGGCUAGCGGAUCAUGAGGUCAGGAGUUCAAGACCAGCCUGGCCAACAUGGUGAAACCCCCAUCUCUACUAAAGAUAUAAAAAACUAGCCGAGCGUGGUGUUGCAUGCCUGUGAUCCCAGCUACUCGGGAGGCUGAGGCGGGGGAAUCGCUUGAACCGGGGAGGCAGAGGUUGCAGUGAGCCAGAUCGUGCAUUGCACUCCAGCCUGGCCGACAGGGUGAGACUCCAUCUCAAAAAAGAGAAAGUACCAGAUUGUACUUUUAAAUCUGUCUAGCGUAUUGAGAAUUUUAGUGGGAGCUGUUGAUUUAUUUCUCAGGGCAUACAUGUGCCAAUCUGUCUCAUUGUUGUCUCUCUCUUUUUUUUUUUUUUUUUUGAGACAGUCUCGCUGUGUUGCCCAGGAGUGCAGUGGCACGAUCUCUGCUCACUGCAACCUCUGCCUCCCAGAUUCAAGCGAUUCUGGUGCCUUAGCCUCCUGAGUAGCUGGGACUUACAGGCACGUACCACUAUACCCUGCUAAAAUUUGUAUUUUUAGUAGAGACAGGGUUUUGCCAUAUUGGCCAGGCUAGUCGUAAUGUCUCUUUUUAACACUGAAUAUGUUAGGUGGUUUUUCUUGAUGGAUUUAGGGUUAACCUAGUUAAUAAUAAAUUGUUUCCAGGUAAUUAUCAAGUUUUGUCAUUUUAUAAAUCUGAAGAGUUAAUAUUGUCAUCGAUACAAAUAAAGUGAAAUCUGACUGA